UACGGGGGGGGCAAGCGUUGUUCGGAAUUACUGGGCGUAAAGGGCUCGUAGGUGGCCAACUAAGUCAGACGUGAAAUCCCUCGGCUUAACCGGGGAACUGCGUCUGAUACUGGAUGGCUUGAGUUUGGGAGAGGGAUGCGGAAUUCCAGGCGUAGCGGUGAAAUGCGUAGAUAUCUGGAGGAACACCGGUGGCGAAGGCGGCAUCCUGGACCGGCAUUGACGCUGAGGAGCGAAAGCCAGGGGAGCAAACGGG
rnacentral:rRNA from 1 species